UUACCUUUCGCGGUCUUUUUACUAAGAUCAAGUGUAGUAUCUAUUCUUAUCAGUUUAAUAUUUUAUACGUGGGUCAACGAAUCACAUGAUAUUAAAUUAAUUUGUUGACGGGGUAAUCCUCAUUAAUAGCUGGCUAUUGGGAUCCUCAAGUGUCCGCCAUGCAUUGGAUUACUACACGGGUUUGGCACACCCUAC
rfam:Cicer arietinum chromosome Ca5, whole genome shotgun sequence.